AGGAAGGAUUGUCCUGUUGUGAGUAUUAUUGAGAGUGUUCCAGACAGUUUGUAACGUCGUCAUUGCUGUACCCAGACCUCAGGGCUGGAGCCCUAGACUAAAAAUAGAGUAGUCUGAAAGGAUUAGAAGAUCGAAGGGAAUGGAAGCUUUCAGAGGGAGGAAGGGUCAGGUCUGUCUUGGACAACUCACCCCACAGAAGCAAGAGGGAGGCUGUUCCAGUAACUCCUGUGGGAGGCCUAGCUGGGAUGCCAUCAUCAGGCACAACCCCUGUUCCCAGGCAGGAUUUCAGCCCAUUUCAAGGACUAACUCAGCUCCAGCUUCUAGAGCUUUGAUCUGCUUGAAAACUCAGACAUCAGUAAGGCGGUUAAGUUUAUAUAUUGAAUCAUAUGAAGUAUGGAUUAUGCAGAACAGCCCACCUCUAGUUUUGAGUGAAAGGAGGUCAACAUUUUACAGGGCUUUACAGGACAGAACCUUAAGUACUGCAAGAGUUCCUGACACCAGUGAAUGAGUCCAUGCAGCAGAUCAUAAACACAUCACCAAGUCAUGAUUUUGGAACAUCACUUCCUGCUGAUACCUAAAUAUUAAUGAUGAACCAGAGCCUGCAGGUGCUGUUUCUUCCAAUCAGCUAUUAGGGGGAUGUGGAUGAGCAGCUGACGUGCAGCUCUCUGCUGCCAGGCAUGGUGAGGUGAGCUCUGUUCCCUGUGCCUGCUGAAAAGGACUGAGUGCCCUCCCCUCGGCAAAACAUGGUGGAGGUGAAAGAGGGUCUGAGCAAACAUUCAGUGCUGCAGAGGUCAGUGCUUUAGUCUGGGUUGCUACAAGCAAAAUUCUUCUGUUGAUCAAGAAUCAUUAAAUAAAAAUGGUACGUAAAGGAUCAGCAAUUAUUAUCAAUAAUAAGAAUCAGGACCAUUAGAGGUACUCCAUAGAGAAAUAAGUCACAAAAAGAAAAUAGAAGCAGCUUAGUACUGCAACAUCAGAACCCCAGACUCUACUCAUAACAGUCUUUAAUCACCACCUUCACCAUGUCCAUCUGUAAUUCGUACUUGUUGAAACAUUAUGCUUGCCUUUUGCUUAGGGCCUGGUUUUGUGAAGUGCUGAGCAUCCUCAUCUCACAUCAACAUCAACACAUUGUAGACUUUUACCUAGGGAGAGAUGAAAUAUAGCACAUAAUGUUUCAUAUCGCAUAGGUGUGGAAGGCUGUGAAUCAAGGAAACAAUUACUUUUAAAUAAAUGAUGUGCAAAUAGAAAAGUGAUAACGUAAUGCAUGAUUUGAGAGCGAAAGUCCAGCUCCUGUAAAUUCAUUUCAGUAACAGUAAAGAGUGGUGACAUUAACAGCACUGUUCUAUGGAGUCUAUUGGCAUUUCCACUAUAUAACAUGGAUUGCUGGAGAUGGUAGGUCUGCCAGUUCAAGUCAUACUGAGCUGCAAUUUAAUGUGAAAAAAAUAAUAAUUUUUAAAUUGCUGAAAUGAUGGAAUUUCUCUCUUCUCUCCCUGCAUCACAAACAAAACAGGAUUUAGAUUUUAUGUUAUGAACUGUUUGCCAACUCACAUAUCAUUAACACCUUCCUUUUAUAUGAAUGGAUAAUAGGAAGGAAGAUGAAGAUAAGCUACCUCAACAUUUGAAAGAUUUGCUCAACACAGACAGUCCUUCCUUUGCACAAGAUUUUUUGAUACAAAAUGAGAAAUACAUUACAAGCCUGAUUUAACCCUCAUAUUAACAAAAAAACAGUACAGACAAUUUGUAACGAAUGCUUAAGUAAGCAUAUCCUUCAAAAAAGAGAUGUCAUGAAAAACACUAAAAGUUAAAUGCACUUGCACCAAAGCCUGUGCUAGCAUUUCCAUUGACUCCAGACAGAGGAGGACUUAGUUCCUGGGAAGUUCAGUUCGAAGAUAGUUGUCUUGCUACUGGCGAGUCUAGGAGUAUGGGCUCUAUGGCCUUCCACAUGAAUGCUAAAGGGAAUAAAGUGCUACUGAUCCCUGUUUCUGAAAUGAUAAGUAUGUGGAAAUAAAUUACAGUUAUAUGAAUUUUAGAGUCCUACCAAAAUCUCUGGAUUACCACAUCUGCAGUCUUACAAAAGGUAAAUCUUCCCAGGUUCUUGUUAAAUCUGUGACUUAAAGAUGCAGCUCAGGACCUGUUUCAGUAAUUGUUAUCAGUUUUUUCAAAGAUUUCAGUUACACUUAUUAACUGUAGAAGGUCUGAAACUUGGCUUUGGCUGUAUACAGAAUUUUCCAAAUUCACUGUUUGUAAUCUAGAACUAAAGACUGAUUGAUUCCUGGGAAUUUUAAAAGAAAUUGGUUCAAACUGUGUCUGUCAAUUUGUAGACCUGUAAGAGCUUCCCAAAGUUGAUUCUGGUUUGGCCUGCAUUUCAAAAUUCUCUGAUUCUGUUUCUUUUUCCUCUCUUGUGUUCUUUAUUCACAUUUGCUCACUGCUUGAGAUGUCUACACUUUAUACAGUUUUGAAUAGGACUGAAUAUACAGUUGCCCACUUUUGAGCCAUUACUACAGUGGAAUUCAGCAUGUUGUACGUUAUAUGGGUUGGAGAACAG